rnacentral:rRNA from 1 species
AACGAACGCUGGCGGCAGGCUUAACACAUGCAAGUCGAACGGUUGUAGCAAUACAGCAGUGGCGCACGGGUGAGUAACGCGUGGGAAUAUGCCCUUUAGCUGGGAAUAACGUCGGGAAACUGACGCUAAUACCCAAUACGCCCUUCGGGGGAAAGAUUUAUCACUAAAGGAUUAGCCCGCGUGAGAUUAGGUAGUUGGUGGGGUAAAGGCCUACCAAGCCUACGAUCUCUAGCUGGUCUGAGAGGACGACCAGCCACACUGGAACUGAGACACGGUCCAGACUCCUACGGGAGGCAGCAGUGGGGAAUAUUGGACAAUGGGGGAAACCCUGAUCCAGCCAUGCCGCGUGAAUGAUGAAGGCCUUAGGGUUGUAAAGUUCUUUUGUCAGGGAAGAUGAUGACGGUACCUGAAGAGUAAGCACCGGCUAACUUCGUGCCAGCCGCCGCGGUAA